UACGUAGGUGACAAGCGUUGUCCGGAUUUACUGGGCGUAAAGAGCUCGUAGGCGGCUUGUCGCGUCGACUGUGAAAACCCGAGGCUCAACUUCGGGCUUGCAGUCGAUACGGGCAGGCUAGAGUUCGGUAGGGGAGACUGGAAUUUACGGUGUAGCGGUGAAAUGCGUAGAUAUCGUAAGGAAGACCAGUGGCGAAGGCGGGUCUCUGGACAGUUCCUGACGCUGAGGCACGAAGGUCAGGGGAGCAAGCGGG
rnacentral:rRNA from 1 species